rnacentral:rRNA from 1 species
AUUGAACGCUGGCGGCAGGCCUAACACAUGCAAGUCGAACGAGUGGCGGACGGGUGAGUAAUGUCUGGGAAACUGCCCGAUGGAGGGGGAUAACUACUGGAAACGGUAGCUAAUACCGCAUACCAUCGGAUGUGCCCAGAUGGGAUUAGCUAGUAGGUGGGGUAACGGCUCACCUAGGCGACGAUCCCUAGCUAGUCUGCGAGGAUGACCAGCCACACUGGAACGUAGACACGGUCCAGAAUCCUGCGGGAGUCAGCAGUGGGGAAUAUUACACAAUGGGCGCAAGCCUGAUGCAGCCAUACCGCGUGUAUGAAGAAGGCCUUCGGUGUGUAAAGUACUUUCAGCGAGGAGGCGUUACUCGCAGAAGAAGCACCGGCUAACUCCGUGCCGGCAGCCGCGGUAAUAG